rnacentral:lncRNA from 1 species
AGAACGCACUCAGGCUCUACAAACCUUGUACCUCCUACAGCAGGGCUGUGACUCUGGCAGCAGUGAGCCGCCCUCAGGAGGUCAGCGUUUCCCGCCGCUGUGCUCACCGAGCCCGCCGUGGUCAGGAGCAGGAAGUCAGCGAGGCGUCACAGAGAAGUUCGUUAACCGAGCCACUGAAACUUGCGAGCGGCCUGUCUGAGCCUGGCCAAAGGUUACUCUGCCUCCUGAAAACUCAUCUAAUCUGCCUUCAUCUGCUGCGGACUUUCUGUUGCGUAUAAAACAGGAAGCUAUGGCCACAGUGAAAUCCAGCUAAAAUGUCUUUCAUUUUCUUUUGUGCUUGUUUCACUCGGCUGAUCUACUGUUUAAUUGUUUUUAUUAUGGUGCAUAGCACUUUGGUAAUCCAAGAUCUGCCGGAGCAUUCUGGCUUUGAUAAUACGUUUGUGACCACCAGGAGUUGUUGAGAACAUCAGUUCAGAACACUUCUGUUUGUUUUGCUACAGCCCUGCUAGCACACUGUUCUGAGAAGAACACACCUUCUGAAAGUAUUCGAGAACACACAGUAAGAAAAAGGAACAUUCCUGCUGCCAAAGGGUGCUAAUUUUAAACACGGCUUGAAAAUGAUCUUACUCAUGAUACUGACACAAGAAAAUAACCUUUUUUUUUUUUUUUUUUUGGUGGUGUGGUGUGGGUUUUUUUCUUGUUUUGUUUUGUUUUUUUCUUUAGUGGAAACUCUGAGAACCUGAAUGCAGACUUCUCUUCAAACCCACCCGGAAGAAGCACCAGUUUGCUAAGUCCUCUGCUCAAGUGCAUGCAGCGAGGCUCUCUCUUUCUCUUUCUAUCAUGUUUCCAAAGUGCCUCCCUCUCACCGGUUACCAGGCAACAGAACAAUAUUGCUCUGCAUGCGCAUCCAGCAAUAACUGGCAUUCUACUGUAGUUUCGCAGUUUCUCAGAGCAAAUAAAGAUGUCCUGAAAUACUGUCUUGUGUGACGAGCAGCUACUGCCCAGAAGACAUUUAAACAUUUAAAUGUUUAAAAGGCCAAUUUCUUUUGUCAGAGAAAUUCAGAGAACGAAAAUAACCUUUGUCUAAUGGAGCAGCUCCCAUCCUAAGUGAACUUAUAAGGUGAAAAUAGACCUCACUGCAGAAAAAAAAAAAGCUGCUUCAGUUCUUAUUUCAAACAAUUAACAGCCUCUACAGUAUUCAAAUAAACCUUUUUCUUAAAUUCAAGGCAGAAGUGAAGCAGUGGCUGAAGAGUUAAAAUAUUUUUUGUGUGCUUUGAAAAUUAAAUUCUGCCUCUAUGAUGAAGUUCUCUUUUAUUCCUAUUUAGUUUGUUGUUCUGAUGUCAAUAAAACAGUCAGAAAAGU